AACUGUGAAUGUUUGGGAAUAGAAUCCAGUUGGCCAGGUUUGGAUCAGAUGCCUUUCCCUGAUCCCAUUGCUUUGCCGGGUAGGAAGGCUCUCAUCCCUAUAGAUCAAGGGGCAGUUUCCAGAGGAAAGAGCAGUCGUUGUGAACAGCGCUGAUGCUAGAAGAACAUCCACAGCUCUGGUACGUUGGGACCUUCUCAACAACAGUGUUAGUGUCAGUGGAGGGACUUCAGUGCUCAGUGGGAGACAGCAGCAGGAGCCAGAGGAGGCAGCGGGACUUGCUCAGCAGACGCAAACAUACUCAGAAGGAGGGGAAGUCACAUUCAGCAAACGCUUCUGGGCCCUAAGGCAGCUGAGGUACCUAAAGAACACAGCAUCGUAGCCCAGUCUCUAUGGUUUGGAAAUGAGUGGUUUUUAAAAAAUUUAUUUUUAAAGAAGAUUAGCCCAGAGCUAACAUUUGCCACCAAUCCUCCUCUUUUUGCCGAGGAAGACCGACCCUGAGCUAACAUCUGUGUCCAUCUUCUUCCUCGUUUUUAUAUGUGGGAUGCCUGCCACAGCGUGGCUCAACAAGCAGUGCAUAAGUCCACACUCAGGAUCCAAACUGGCGAACCCCGGGCCGCGGAAGCAGAACAUGUGAACUUAACCGCUGCACCACUGGGCUGGCCCCAAGAAACCGAUGGUUUUGAAUUGCAUUCUAUGCUCUGGGAAGAACAUUUGGUGAAGUCGCCACAGAGCAAUAUUAGUAAGUGUUGUGUGUCUUCUUUCUCAUAAACGUCUUCAUUACAAGAUCAUGUAACUGGUACUUCACUAGAGCUUGCUCUGAUGGGUCUCUUCAGCUAAUAAAUCACAUCAUGUUAUGAUUUUCAACUAAUAUAGAGUUAUAAUUCAUCCUGCUCAAUUCAGCUAUGUUUUGGAGGGUAGGGAUGGGAGGGAUAAAAAAACAACAAAUGUUUUUCUUACUCUUUUUCAACUUUCCCAUUUAGUGGUAAAUUUGCUAUCAAAACUUUUGUUGGAAUCGAUCCCAGUCUCAGGUCUUGACACACAGGUCAUGAAAGACUAAGAAAGCAUUAUCACUCUUAGCUGCAAUCCUUUACAGACAAGUGCAAGAAAGCCAAGAUCUAAAUUCCAGUUUAGAGUCAACGUAACAUUCCACAAAUCCAUGCCAAGAUAAAGGUGGAAAGAUCAAUAUUUCUGCUACUCUUUCUGAGGAAGACAGAAACUAAUGGUAGUGGUUCCCAAACUUGUUCACAUUAGAAUCACCUUCAAAAUUCCAAAACAAGGCCAUACCCCAGACCAGUCAGUCACAAUCUUUGGGGACAGUUCACAGGAAUUUGUAGUUUUUGAAGCUCCCCCAGGCGAUCUCAAUGUGAAGAUAAAAUUUGGGGACCAUUCAUUUGACAUCACAGAAUUUGCUUUAAUUUAACUGGGGCCAUUGCCCAAGUUUCAAUCCAGGUGUUGGAAAUAUUCCAUCUCCUUUUAGGAAAGGGCGAUCCUCUGAUAAUGAAAAUAUCUGUUUUAUGGUCAACUUAUGGGUACAAAUGAGGCCAGAGAGGUCUCUGUGGUUACUUUGUCUUAAUGAAUGUGAUUUACAGCUGAAAGUAAAAUUGCUGUUUAUGAAAGCCAGGAAAAGUCAACCCAUCCAACAAGGUCCUCUCCAAUGCAUCUAAUAAUCUUACAGGACAAAUAGGAAAAUACAUGAGAUCAUUUUACAACAGAAGAAAUGAUUUUAAUAUAUAUUUUUAAUGCUUUGUGAUUAAUUCUUAUUUUUGAUUUAAGAUUAUGUUUAUGUAACAUAAUUAUUAAAAUCCAGCAACAAUCACAAAUGUAAAUCAGGAAGUAAUUUUUGUCAAUUUUAAGUGAGUUAAUAAUUUUAUUGUGAGUUGAUUUUAUUAAUUACCUAAUUCUUUGUAAUUAAGGUAGUUAAUAAAAACUUUAAUGCAUUUAAAUAGUCCUGUUAUAAAAAUAAAUACAUGGUGUAGU
rnacentral:lncRNA from 1 species